UACGUAGGGGGCAAGCGUUGUCCGGAUUUAUUGGGCGUAAAGAGCGUGUAGGCGGCUAGGUAGGUCCGUUGUGAAAACUCGAGGCUCAACCUCGAGACGUCGAUGGAAACCAUCUAGCUAGAGUCCGGAAGAGGAGAGUGGAAUUCCUGGUGUAGCGGUGAAAUGCGCAGAUAUCUGGAGGAACACCGGUGGCGAAGGCGGCAUUCUGGACCGACAUUGACGCUGAGGAGCGAAAGCCAGGGGAGCAAACGGG
rnacentral:rRNA from 1 species